rnacentral:rRNA from 1 species
GUGGGGAAUAUUGGACAAUGGGGGCUACCCUGAUCCAGCCAUGCCGCGUGAGUGAUGACGGCCUUCGGGUUGUAAAGCUCUUUUACAUGGGAAGAUAAUGACGGUACCAUGAGAAUAAGCACCGGCAAACUUCGUGCCAGCAGCCGCGGUAAUACGAAGGGUGCAAGCGUUGUUCGGAAUUACUGGGUGUAAAGGGCGUGUAGGCGGAUUAGUUAGUUAGUGGUGAAAUCCUUGGGCUCAACCUGAGAACUGCCAUUGAUACAGCUAGUCUGGAGUAUUAGAGAGGAUGACGGAAUAUCCAGUGUAGAGGUGAAAUUCGUAGAUAUUGGAUAGAACACCGGUGGCGAAGGCGGUCAUCUGGCUAAUUACUGACGCUGAGGCGCGAGAGCGUGGGGAGCAAACAGGAUUAGAAACCCUGGUAGUCC